GACUUCGUCUCGGGGGCGUCGGCCGCCUCCAGCCACAUGAUCCACGGCGGUAUCCGUUAUCUGGAGAACGGCGAGUUCCGCCUCGUGCACGAAGCCG
rnacentral:tRNA from 1 species